GUCACAGGUGCUAGACCCUGGAGUUGAACCAGUACCACUCGGUUACAAAGUCAUGGUCUAGUAGUUGUGAC
rnacentral:pre_miRNA from 1 species